UCAGAAAGUCCCCCUCAGAAAGCCUGUGAUGAGAUGUGGGGGACUUGGCAGUCUUACUGGGGAAGCAAAAUAAUCGAUCUGAGUUUGUUAGCACAUUGCAACUUGUUACAAGUGAGAAACUGGACACAUCCACAGAAAGAAUAGAGCAAGAGGAGACAAGGCACCUUCCCAGAAGAGUAACAAUCCAAAGUUUACACUUCCAGUGAAAUGCUGCCUGAGAAGUGCUGGAUAUAAAAAGGCGACUCGAGUGCCUCUGUGAUGACACACCGAUUGCUG